rnacentral:rRNA from 1 species
AGGAUAGGUGGGACACUUUGAUCCGGUGGCGCCAGUCAUCGGGGAGUCGCCGUUGAAAUACCACCCUGACAAAUCUGAAUAUCUAACCUCUUCCCCUAAGCGGGGAAAGGGACAAUGCCUGGUGGGUAGUUUGACUGGGGCGGUCGCCUCCAAAAAAGUAACGGAGGCGUACAAAGGUUCCCUCAGACUGAAUGGAAACCAGUCGAAGAGUGCAAAGGCAUAAGGGAGCUUGACUGCGAGAGGGACACCUCGAGCAGGGACGAAAGUCGGUCUUAGUGAUCCGGUGGUUCCGAAUGGAAGGGCCAUCGCUCAACG